GAUGAACGCUGGCGGCGUGCCUAAUACAUGCAAGUCGAGCGAACGGACGAGAAGCUUGCUUCUCUGAUGUUAGCGGCGGAAGUGUGAGUAACACGUGGAUAACCUACCUAUAAGACUGGGAUAACUUCGGGAAACCGGAGCUAAUUCCGGAUAAUAUUUUGAACCUCAUGGUUCAAAAGUGAAAGACGGUCGUGCUGUCACUUAUAGAUGUAUCCGCGCUGCAUUAGCUAGUUCGUAAGGUAACGGCUUACUAAGGCAACGAUGCAUAGCCGACCUGAGAGCGGGAAGCGGCCCAGUGAGACUGAGAGACGGCACUGAGUCUUACGGGAGGCCGCAGCAGCGACUCUUCCCAACUGGGCGAAAGACUGCCGGAGCAACGCAGCGCGAGUGCUGCAGGUCCUCGUAUCGUAAAACUCUGUUAUGAGGGAAGAACAUAUGUGUAAGUAACUGUGCACAUCUUGACGGUACCUAAUCAGAAAGCAACGGCUAACUACGUG
rnacentral:rRNA from 1 species